CCUACGGGUGGCAGCAGUGGGGAAUAUUGCACAAUGGGGGAAACCCUGAUGCAGCGACGCCGCGUGAGCGAUGAAGUAUUUCGGUAUGUAAAGCUCUAUCAGCCGGGAAGAAAAUGACGGUACCUGACUAAGAAGCCCCGGCUAACUACGUGCCAGCAGCCGGGGUAAUACGUCGGGGGCAAGGGUUAUCCGGAUUUACUGGGUGUAAAGGGAGCGUAGCCGGCGGUGCAAGCCAGAAGUGAAAGCCCGGGGCUCAACCCCGGGACUGCAUUUGGAACUGUGCUGCUAGAGUGUCGGAGAGGCAGGCGGAAUGCCUAGUGUAGCGGUGAAAUGCGUAGAUAUUAGGCGGAACACCAGUGGCGAAGGCGGCCUGCUGGACGAUGACUGACGUUGAGGCUCGAAAGCGUGGGGAGCAAACAGGAUUAGAUACCCGAGUAGUC
rnacentral:rRNA from 1 species